rnacentral:rRNA from 1 species
UGAGUGCGAGCGGCUACGGCCGCGAAGUGGGUGAUGUCAAGCUUCCAAGAAAAGCCCUAUACCCGUUAAGGCAUGAUGGCCUGUACCCGAAACCGACACAGGUGGGGUGGUAGAGAAUACCGAGGGGCGCGAGGUAACUCUCUCUAAGGAACUCGGCAAAAUGGCCCCGUAACUUCGGGAGAAGGGGUGCCACCGCAAGGUGGUCGCAGUGAAGAGGCCCAGGCGACUGUUUACCAAAAACACAGGUCUCCGCUAAGUCGCAAGACGAUGUAUGGGGGCUGACGCCUGCCCAGUGCCGGAAGGUUAAGGAAGCUGGUCAGCGCAAGCGAAGCUGGCGACUGAAGCCCCAGUGAACGGCGGCCGUAACUAUAACGGUCCUAAGGUAGCGAAAUUCCUUGUCGGGUAAGUUCCGACCCGCACGAAAGGCGUAACGAUCUGGGCGCUGUCUCGGAGAGAGGCUCGGCGAAAUAGAAUUGUCUGUGAAGAUGCGGACUACGUGCACCCGGACAGAAAGACCCUAUGAAGCUUUACUGUAGCUUGGUAUUGUGCCCGGGCUCUGAAUGCGCAGGAUAGGUGGGAGGCUUUGAUCCAUGGCUUGCGGGUCAUGGUGAGCCAACGGUGAGAUACCACUCUUUCAGAGCUAGGGUUCUAACGGUCACCCGUCAUCCGGGGACCGGACAGUAUCAGGUGGGCAGUUUGACUGGGGCGGUCGCCUCCUAAAAGGUAACGGAGGCGCGCAAAGGUUUGCUCAGGCUGGUUGGAAAUCAGCCGACGAGUGCAAAAGCAGAAGCAAGCUUGACUGUGAGACCUACAAGUCGAACAGGGACGAAAGUCGGCUUUAGUGAUCCGACGGUUCUGAGUGGAAGGGCCGUCGCUCAACGGAUAAAAGUUACUCUAAGGAUAACAGGCUGAUCUCCCCCAAGAGUUCACAUCGACGGGGAGGUUUGGCACCUUGAUGUCGGCUCAUCGCAACCUGGGGCUGAAGUCGGUCCCAAGGGUUGGGCUGUUCGCCCAUUAAAGCGGUACGCGAGCUGGGUUCAGAACGUCGUGAGACAGUUCGGUCCAUAUCCGGUGCACGCGCAGGAACAUUGAGAGGAUCUCUCCCUAGUACGAGAGGACCGGGAGGAACGCACCUCUGGUGUGCCAGUUAUCGUGCCAACGGUAAACGCUGGGUAGCCAUGUGCGGAGUGGAUAACCGCUGAAAGCAUCUAAGUGGGAAGCCCACCUCAAGAUGAGUGUUCCCAUGGCAUAAGCCAGUAAGGUCACGGGAAGAACACCCGUUGAUAGGCUCUACGUGGAAGCCGGGUAACCGGUGAAGCGGAGGAGUACUAAUAGACCGAGGGCUUGACC